rnacentral:rRNA from 1 species
UACGUAGGGUGCGAGCGUUAAUCGGAAUUACUGGGCGUAAAGCGUGCGCAGGCGGUUCGUUAAGACAGAUGUGAAAUCCCCGGGCUUAACCUGGGAACUGCAUUUGUGACUGGCGAGCUAGAGUAUGGCAGAGGGGGGUAGAAUUCCACGUGUAGCAGUGAAAUGCGUAGAGAUGUGGAGGAAUCACCGAUGGCGAAGGCA